rnacentral:rRNA from 1 species
GAUCAUGGCUCAGGAUGAACGCUAGCUACAGGCUUAACACAUGCAAGUCGGAGGGGCAGCAUGACCUAGUCAAUAGGUUGAUGGCGACCGGCGCACGGGUGAGUAACACGUAUCCAACCUACCGGUUAUUCCGGGAUAGCCUUUCGAAAGAAAGAUUAAUACCGGAUAGUAUAACGAGAAGGCAUCUUCUUGUUAUUAAAGAAUUUCGAUAACCGAUGGGGAUGCGGUUCCAUUAGUUUGUUGGCGGGGUAACGGCCC